CACUGUCACUCCUACGGGAGGCAGCAGUGGGGAAUAUUCGGACAAUGGGCGCAAGCCUGAUCCAGCCAUGCCGCGUGAGUGAUGAAGGCCCUAGGGUUGUAAAGCUCUUUCAGCGAGGAGGAUAAUGACGUUACUCGCAGAAGAAGCCCCGGCUAACUUCGUGCCAGCAGCCGCGGUAAUACGAAGGGGCUAGCGUUGUUCGGAAAUCACUGGGCGUAAAAGCGCACGUAGGCGGACUUUUAAGUCAGGGUGAAAAUCCCGGGCUCAAACCCCGGAACUGCCUUUGAUACUGGAAGUCUUGAGUCCGAGAGAGGUGAGUGGAACUCCGAGUGUAGAGGUGAAAUUCGUAGAUAUUCGGAAGAACACCAGUGGCGAAGGCGGCUCACUGGCUCGGUACUGACGCUGAGGUGCGAAAGCGUGGGGACGCAAACAGGAUUAGAUACCCUGGUAG
rnacentral:rRNA from 1 species